rnacentral:rRNA from 1 species
GCGGAGGAAAAGAAACUAACAAGGAUUCCCCUAGUAGCGGCGAGCGAAGCGGGAAGAGCUCAAAUUUAUAAUCUGGCACCUUCGGUGUCCGAGUUGUAAUCUCUAGAAGUGUUUUCCGCGUUGGACCGCACACAAGUCUGUUGGAAUACAGCGGCAUAGUGGUGAAACCCCCGUAUAUGGUGCGGACGCCCAGCGCUUUGUGAUACACUUUCAAUGAGUCGAGUUGUUUGGGAAUGCAGCUCAAAUUGGGUGGUAAAUUCCAUCUAAAGCUAAAUAUUGGCGAGAGACCGAUAGCGAACAAGUACCGUGAGGGAAAGAUGAAAAGCACUUUGGAAAGAGAGUUAACAGUACGUGAAAUUGUUGGAAGGGAAACGCUUGAAGUCAGACUUGCUUGCCGGAGCUUGCUUCGGUUUGCAGGCCAGCAUCAGUUUUCCGGGGUGGAUAAUAACGGUUUGAAGGUAGCAGUCUCGGCUGUGUUAUAGCUUUCCGUUGGAUACAUCCUGGGGGACUGAGGAACGCAGCGUGCUUUUUGCGAAAGACUCGUCUUUUUCACGCUUAGGA